CCAGAACCAAUCAGCAGUGUUGCUACAUGGGAUCAAGCCGCAAAUGUUGCUACUUUUUUUCUUCAGUCUGGUUAUUUCCCAUUUUAAAUAAAAAAAAUAAAGGUAGAUAAAUAUUAAAAUGAACAGUAGGAACUAUAUAUACUGUAUAUAUUUACUAGGUAGAUAUAGCCUGACUGCAUGUCAUGAGUAAUGCUAUUAUUGUUAUAUUAUUAUACCGCAAUUAUAUUAUUUUCUCUGCAUGUGUGGUUAGAUGUGUUUUAUGUGUUUAACCUUUCUGUAUACAUACUGGAAUGAACCAAUGAAUUGUAGCCCUACUGCCGUUCUUUAAAACUAUGUGAUCAUGUUUUUUCUUCCAAACUCAUUGUUUUAGCACGCACGCUGACUCCCAUCAGUAAUGAUGAUAUAUAUACAUUGAGUCAUUGGUUUGUAGGGGGAAAGAGUGGGUGAAUAUAAUUAUCUCGGUCUAACUUUUACUGUUUAUUAUACCGCUAUUCGCAGCAAUAUCUUUCUCUGCUCCGAUUGCAACGCUGCCUCGUUCAAAAAUCAUAACACCGCCGCGGCCGCCACGUUUACCAGCCGGAGCCUCAAAUCAUGUCCCUUUGUGGUGAUAAAGAGGACACAGCCUGGUGUGAAGCUACAUUUAUUACGGAAGGAUGCCAGCCGGGGAUCCGAACACGUCCGAUAUCAUCCAAGAGAAUGUGGCAGCUGAAGGGGGAGAGGCCAAGAAAGAGGCCAAGGGUGAAGACAUUUAGCCACCCCCCCUGAAGUACAUGGCAGCAUUCAACCCUCUUGGUGAGCUGCAGGAAUGUGCUUCCCAUUGCAGUGCACCAGCUCCAUGUACUGAUUUUGGUGUGAACUUGAUGGGGUUGGAGGAAACUCGACUUGGCCAUCAAGCUCACCACAAUAUAACAUGAAAAGUGAAAAUUGCUGCACACAACAGUCUGUCGUCUGCACCGGGAGGCAAGGCAGCUCAAAGCCCAGGCUGUUACAAAUCCUGGGCAGUUUUUGCCCAGAGCCAGCAAUUUUUUAGAUCCAAUAGGAAUGGAUUUUUUCUGAGGUCAGGUUCAACAUGCUGCAAGAUGCCAAGAUCUAAGCCUAGUAGGAGAUAUGGGUUACAAGAGAGGAGGUUUGCUCUGGCCUUAUACUUUCAAAGUCCAAAUGCUAAUAGAUUUCUGAGCACAGUAUUUCACUUGUCUUCAGUUUCAACACUUUACUCAUGACUCAGGGGUAUUUCAGUACAUGUUGGCUGGAGCAAACAGACUCUGACAGCCCUGCAGCAAAGAGCACAGGCUUUGUCAAAAGAAGAGAAACUUUGUGGGAUUUGCCAUUAUUUAGUAUUACUCUUGUUACGCCAAGAAUUUUUUUCCAUAUACUUUGCCAAAUAUUGCAAGUAAUGCACCAUUGUUGGGCUUGCUUGUUAUAAAUCAGAUCUUGUUCAAUUAACAAGCUUUGGGUGUCUGCCACUUUCCAGUUGUAAUGCAAGGAAUCAUUUAUCUUCCCUGCUAGAUAUCACACGUAAUGCACCAUUGUUGGUUUUGCCUGUUUUAAAUCAGAUCUUGUUCAGUUAAAAAGCUUUAGAUGUCUGCCACUUUCCAAUUGUAAUGCAAGGAAUCCCCUGCCAGAUAUCGCAUGUAAUGCACCAUUGUUGGUUUUGCCUAUUAUAAAUCAGAUCUUGUUCAGCUCACAAGCUUUGAAUAUCUACCAUUGUUUAUUUUAGGUGUAAUGCUUGGAAGCAUUUGUUCUCUUACCUACCCAACAGUAUGCAAUAUUUUAUUGUGGAUUUUGCCUGUUAUAUUUAAUCUUGUUCAGGUAACAAGCUUUUGGUGUCUGCCUUACCUAAUAUGUCCUGCAGUGACACUUGGCUUGG